CUUCUCAUGGAAGUUACAUCCCACUUCACAUGGAAGUUAUGCCCCACUUCACAUGGAAGUUACGCCCCACUUCUCAACCGUUCCCGCCUAAACGCUCUUGGCCUUCAGGCGCAUUAUUGCAGACUCCUGGUGUAUCACGCGUCCUAAUUUCUUCGGCUCAUACGUAGGCUAGAUCGGCGUGUUCAUUUCAAAUUUGGCAUCAACAAUAUCAAGUUAGUAUCAUGUGGUUUUAUUUUUGUAUCAAGUUAAUAUUCUGUGAUUUUUAAACCAUAGGGCACUAAAGUGAGAAAGUGCGAAACCACAGGGUACUAAUUUGAUACACUUUAAACCAAACGGUACUAAAGUGAGAACGAAUGAAACCACAAGGUGGGUUUUUGACGUUUUCCCUUUUUUUUUUUUGCGUACUUUUUCCUUCCCUGCUAAGCCAAAGUUGGGCUCAACCCUUUCUUUCUCUGCAGCAAUUUAGGGUGGGUUUGGUUUCACGUAAAAUUGUGAAAAACAAAUUUUCAAUGGAAAAAAAUUUUUGUGAAAUUUUUUUUUACGUCGUUUAGUAUUUGAUUUGUAAGAAAAGAAAAAUAAUUUUUCGUGACUGUUGUUUGGUUAAAAGAAAAAAAAGUAAAAAAAUAUUUAAUAUAUUUUUAUUAUAUAUAUUAGUAAUUUAUAAUAAUUAAUAUACUAUAUAUAUUAUUAUUAUAAUUUCUAU
rnacentral:lncRNA from 1 species